UACAGAGGUCCCGAGCGUUGUUCGGAAUUACUGGGCGUAAAGGGCUCGUAGGUGGCCAACUAAGUCAGACGUGAAAUCCCUCAGCUUAACUGGGGAACUGCGUCUGAUACUGGAUGGCUUGGAUUCGGGAGAGGAAUGCGGAAUUCCAGGUGUAGCGGUGAAAUGCGUAGAUAUCUGGAGGAACACCGGUGGCGAAGGCGGCAUUCUGGACCGACAUUGACGCUGAGGAGCGAAAGCCAGGGGAGCAAACGGG
rnacentral:rRNA from 1 species